rnacentral:rRNA from 1 species
AAAUUGAAGAGUUUGAUCAUGGCUCAGAUUGAACGCUGGCGGCAGGCCUAACACAUGCAAGUCGAACGGUAACAGGAAGCAGCUUGCUGCUUUGCUGACGAGUGGCGGACGGGUGAGUAAUGUCUGGGAAACUGCCUGAUGGAGGGGGAUAACUACUGGAAACGGUAGCUAAUACCGCAUAACGUCGCAAGACCAAAGAGGGGGACCUUCGGGCCUCUUGCCAUCGGAUGUGCCCAGAUGGGAUUAGCUAGUAGGUGGGGUAACGGCUCACCUAGGCGACGAUCCCUAGCUGGUCUGAGAGGAUGACCAGCCACACUGGAACUGAGACACGGUCCAGACUCCUACGGGAGGCAGCAGUGGGGAAUAUUGCACAAUGGGCGCAAGCCUGAUGCAGCCAUGCCGCGUGUAUGAAGAAGGCCUUCGGGUUGUAAAGUACUUUCAGCGGGGAGGAAGGCGAUAAGGUUAAUAACCUUGUCGAUUGACGUUACCCGCAGAAGAAGCACCGGCUAACUCCGUGCCAGCAGCCGCGGUAAUACGGAGGGUGCAAGCGUUAAUCGGAAUUACUGGGCGUAAAGCGCACGCAGGCGGUCUGUCAAGUCGGAUGUGAAAUCCCCGGGCUCAACCUGGGAACUGCAUUCGAAACUGGCAGGCUAGAGUCUUGUAGAGGGGGUAGAAUUCCAGGUGUAGCGGUGAAAUGCGUAGAGAUCUGGAGGAAUACCGGUGGCGAAGGCGGCCCCCUGGACAAAGACUGACGCUCAGGUGCGAAAGCGUGGGGAGCAAACAGGAUUAGAUACCCUGGUAGUCCACGCCGUAAACGAUGUCGACUUGGAGGUUGUGCCCUUGAGGCGUGGCUUCCGGAGCUAACGCGUUAAGUCGACCGCCUGGGGAGUACGGCCGCAAGGUUAAAACUCAAAUGAAUUGACGGGGGCCCGCACAAGCGGUGGAGCAUGUGGUUUAAUUCGAUGCAACGCGAAGAACCUUACCUACUCUUGACAUCCAGAGAACUUUCCAGAGAUGGAUUGGUGCCUUCGGGAACUCUGAGACAGGUGCUGCAUGGCUGUCGUCAGCUCGUGUUGUGAAAUGUUGGGUUAAGUCCCGCAACGAGCGCAACCCUUAUCCUUUGUUGCCAGCGGUUAGGCCGGGAACUCAAAGGAGACUGCCAGUGAUAAACUGGAGGAAGGUGGGGAUGACGUCAAGUCAUCAUGGCCCUUACGAGUAGGGCUACACACGUGCUACAAUGGCGCAUACAAAGAGAAGCGACCUCGCGAGAGCAAGCGGACCUCAUAAAGUGCGUCGUAGUCCGGAUUGGAGUCUGCAACUCGACUCCAUGAAGUCGGAAUCGCUAGUAAUCGUGGAUCAGAAUGCCACGGUGAAUACGUUCCCGGGCCUUGUACACACCGCCCGUCACACCAUGGGAGUGGGUUGCAAAAGAAGUAGGUAGCUUAACCUUCGGGAGGGCGCUUACCACUUUGUGAUUCAUGACUGGGGUGAAGUCGUAACAAGGUAACCGUAGGGGAACCUGCGGUUGGAUCACCUCCUUA